CUACUACGGGAUUGCUUGCAAUUUGGGGACUCUGUCCAAUCGGAGGCGGCGCCCAAUCAGGACCGGGCAGGGCUCGGCGCGCGCCCAAUCUGAGCGGGCGGGGGAGAGGGAGGCGUUCCUCGGGCGGCCGGAGCCUCACCAGUCACUCGGACACGGCGGAGGAGCAGGAGCAGGGCGGGGCGGUGGGAGUCGCCGGCCGCUCGGUUCUUCUCCUUCUUCCCGGAGAGACGCGUCAGCGCAGCGCCCGCCGAGGUGAAGAGCGAGGAAAGGUGCUGGCAAAAGAGGCUGGAAAGUAAAGCUUUGCUGCAGGAGUAAGUAAGUACAGGUCUUGAAGAGGCCUAAUACUCAAGGUCUUUGCAACUAUAGUUAAAACUUAUUCAGUCAUCUGCC
rnacentral:lncRNA from 11 species